rnacentral:misc_RNA from 1 species
AAGUCGUAACAAGGUCUCCGUUGGUGAACCAGCGGAGGGAUCAUUACCGAGUUUACAACUCCCAAACCCCAAUGUGAACAUUACCACCUCGUUGCUUCGGCGGUACCGCCCCGGCGCCCUCGGGCCCGGGCCAAGGCGGCCGCCGGGGGACCAAGCAAACCCUUGCAGUGAAUCCCGGGGGUCCACUCCCCGGCGGCAUUAUCUGAGUACAGCGAAAUACAAACGCAUAAAAACUUUCAACAACGGAUCUCUUGGUUCUG